UUCCUUUGACCCGCCCCGCACGAUCUCCUCUUUCCCCAACGAACCAGAGACCCGCAGCGCCGCCGUCCCUGCCUAGCGCUCGCUCGCGACGCCUCUCCUACUCCUCGUCUCACCCCCAUUGCCGUCGAUCCUUCCCCAGCCACCGCCCUGUACCGUACGUGCGAGCAGGUCAGGUGGCGGCUCCGAGAUCCGCCAAGGGCAUGGACCUGGUGCUCCAUCUCCAUGGCACUGGCUCCCAGAUUCGCCCAGGGGCUGGACCUGGAGCUCAUCUCCUCCAUGGCGUCGGCUUCCAGAUUCGCCCAUGGGUUGGACCUGGUGCUCCAUCUCCAUGGCGAGUUGGUUGUAUCCCCACGUCUACUUCUGCUCGGUCGACGACGCCAUCCGCGCGUGCUUCUGCUGCUCGUAUAGGUGCACGCACCACCGGCGCUCCCGAAUCAAGCAGGUGACGUAGCGGCCCUCCCAGAUCCACGACGAGCUGCGUCUGGCUCGUCCUCGUGGCUGUCAGCCACGUCCUCGACAAGGGUCACAUCUGGCCGUGACCAAGUGAGGCCCCGGAUCUGCACUCACUAUGAGGGGGCGGCGGCACCGAGAGGAUUCUCACGCAGCCGUCUUCCACCUUAUUCGUCCGGUUCCAGAUCAUCUUCAUCCGAAGCAAAAUAAUAGGUUGACUCAGGCAGUCUUUUUCCGCUGCAACAGCCAUGCACAGAUGGUUCUGCCCGGUGGAUGCAGUUUCUGUUCUUCCAAUUUCCACGUGCUAGCAUUCCAAUGUCAAGUGCUCCCUCCGUCCCAAAAUAAGUGACUCAACUUUGUACUAGCUUUAGUACAAAGUUAGUACAAAGUUGAGUCACUUAUUUUGGGACGGAGGGAGUAUAAUUCUUGAACUGCAUAAGCUAAACUAUGUUAGUUCCAUGAUCAACUUGUAUAUGCAGUCCAAGCCUUCUAAAAUGAUUGCCUUUACUAUCCAUGUCUUGAUGUGAUUUGUUCUUAAAACGGUUUGCUAGAUAGAUCCAAACGGUGGUUUUGUGUACAAUAGUUUUGCAUUGUAUGAGCUAAAUUCUGUUGUCCAUCAGCAUGUUUGACUUGUCAUUUAUGUGGAAGUUUGAUGGUAACAUUAUAAGUUGUGUAUGCAAUGGUACCUGGAAGGCUGCACUGCUUAACCAGCUUGUUGUUAGAAUUGUUUCAGUAAUUGAUUUUUCCUUAACUCAGCUCGUUUAAGAUCUAUGCUAGUAUGUGAUCUGCGUAUAGAUAUGAGUUACAUCCCAGCCAUUUUAACUAUGAUUGGUUGUAUUACUUUAGAUUUGACGGUGAAAGUGCAUUUGUUAACUAUAUUCUAAUGCUCUCAUAUGUAAGGAAAGCAUGGGUUAACUCAUCCUUAUUGAUAGAUCCUCUCUUUUAAUUAAUAAUGUAUGCAUCCUUGUAUGUUCUCUGUUCUUUACUAUAUUGUUCUGGCCUCAGGCAAUUAAACAUUGUAUCUGUUUUUGUUGUGAUAUGCAACUCUUCAAAAAAAGAAACCGUAUUAUGGUAUUACUCAUCUGCAUGGAAUUUCUAUGUAUUCUAGUAGUUUAUUUUUGAUACUGUAUUGUUGUAUUCCCGAUCUGCGUUGGACCGAUGCUCGAUUUGUUCCUAUUUUUGUUUCAGUACUAGUACAAUGUAAUGAAUUCGUGCUUUCAUGAAGUAUUUUGCGCUAUUUUUAUCCGUCGAGCAAUUUAGAAGACUUGUAGAGCAUUUAACUAGACAGUUGAAUUUGCAUUUGCAACUAUGCUUGCUUAGAGCAGCCCUUGACUGGUUAUAUUAUUGCGAUGGCCUGUGCUGUUCUUAGUUGUGCUACAGUAUGUGUUUCGUGUUGUUUGCACUUGUUAGCCAAAUCAUUGCACACACAGUGUUAAUGCGAUGUUGCGGGUUUGUGACCUAGGAUUUCAGCCGAAUUCCUGUUUGUACAAUGUAUCUGGUACAUGUUGUUUUCAUCUUAAUAGCUAGCAGCCUAGCACCAUGAACGUUGAUUGUGAAAUCUCUAUAUGCUGUAAAAUUAAUUGGGUUAGUCUCGAACUUGUUGUGAAUUGUAAGAUGCUUUAAGUAAAUGUUUUUUGCCUUCUUGCGUGUAGGCGGUCAGGCGAGACAGCAAAUAGAGGUUCAGUCUGUUGGAGGAGUAUGGCGAGCUGCUGAUUCGGGCUAACCAGGGGCACACUGUGGCAGGCGACCAUAUUAGCUCAGUCCUGACUAUGAGCAGGAGCAGGUGCAUUUUCCUGUUUGUAAUGCUAUCGAAGGAGCUCCAUCCUGAAGAAUCUAGUGCUUGUAGAGCUUGUAAAUUAGUUACUCCACUUGUAGAGUUAUUUGUAGAGCAGGAGCACCAUUGUAUUACGUGUUAUUUGUAGAGCAGGAGCUCCAUACAGAAUUUGGCUCUAUACUGAA